UUCCUCUCCUGGGAAAGUCUGAUAGAGAAUGGCGGGGGGAGUGGAAAAACAGAUGCCAACCCUCGGCUUCACCUCCCAGUGAAGAGAGGAAGACAGAGAAGCAAGCCUGGCCGGCCAGCCCAGUUCCUAGGCAGCAGGGAGGGUAGCCCCAACUGCAGUGGCAAGUAUGAUGGGUAGACACUGGGAGACCUCAGAAGUGGAAGAAGCAGCAGCAGGGGACAGAUGACAGGAGGCAGGAGAGCUGCCCUCACAGCCUGGCUCACAUGUGCACACACACAGACACUCAGUUCUUCAAGGACUGGAGCCGGAGCCGGUGAAAUCAUCUUUGUGAUCCCAGGACCUGGCACAGAGAAAGUGCUAAAUGGAUGUUGGAGUGAGUGGCUGCCACCCUGGGCACUGCUCUUCCAGCUUCCUGGACCCCAGCUCAGCCUCCUGCACCCGGCCUUAUAGCCAAGGGGGUGGAAGUUCCCCUGUUGACUCCCAGGAAGGUACAAGGGGACCCAAGGUCUUCAUUCAUCCUUUUGUCCCACAAGCACUCAUCUUGUGUGUACCAGAUGCCCAGGAUACAGAGGAAAUGACAACAAUGAUGAUGUUGAUGGCAACUACUGAUUUUUAUGAAAUAAACUCUACUGAUUACCGGGCACUCCUUUAAGAUCUUUGUAUUUAAUAACUUAUUUAGGGGAGAAAGGAAAGUUUCCUGCCCGCAAAGAGCUCCUGUGCUAGUUGGGGAAAGAGUCGAUUACUCCUUCGUUCACUGAAUAAAGAUUCGUUGAGCACCUACCAUGUGCCAGCCAUGUAGCUGCAGCUAUGAACAAAAUAGACAAAAUCUCGCCUCAAUAAGGAGGGUAGAA
rnacentral:lncRNA from 1 species